UAGGGAAUCUUCCGCAAUGGACGCAAGUCUGACGGAGCAACGCCGCGUGAGUGAAGAAGGAUUUCGGUUCGUAAAACUCUGUUGUUAGAGAAGAACAGCGCAUAGAGUAACUGUUAUGCGUGUGACGGUAUCUAACCAGAAAGCCACGGCUAACUACGUGCCAGCAGCCGCGGUAAUACGUAGGUGGCAAGCGUUGUCCGGAUUUAUUGGGCGUAAAGCGAGCGCAGGCGGUCAAUUAAGUCUGAUGUGAAAGCCCCCGGCUCAACCGGGGAGGGUCAUUGGAAACUGGUUGACUUGAGUGCAGAAGAGGGGAGUGGAAUUCCAUGUGUAGCGGUGAAAUGCGUAGAUAUAUGGAGGAACACCAGUGGCGAAGGGGACUCUCUGGUCUGUAACUGAAGCUGAGGCUCGAAAGCGUGGGUAGCAAACAGG
rnacentral:rRNA from 1 species